UACGUAGGUGGCAAGCGUUGUCCGGAUUUACUGGGUGUAAAGGGCGCGUAGGCGGGAUGGCAAGUCAGAUGUGAAUGCAUGGGCUCAACCCAUGAACUGCAUUUGAAACUGUCGUUCUUGAGUAUCGGAGAGGCAAGCGGAAUUCCUAGUGUAGCGGUGGAAUGCGUAGAUAAUAGGAGGAACACCAGUGGCGAAGGCGGCUUGCUGGACGACAACUGACGCUGAGGCGUGAGAGCGUGGGGAGCAAACA
rnacentral:rRNA from 1 species